rnacentral:rRNA from 1 species
ACGGGGCCCGCACAAGCGGUGGAGUAUGUGGUUUAAUUCGAUGCAACGCGAAGAACCUUACCUGGUCUUGACAUCCCGGAGACCCUUAGGAAACUAGGGGGUGCUUCCAUCUGGAAGAAUCUGGAGACAGGUGCUGCAUGGCUGUCGUCAGCUCGUGUCGUGAGAUGUUGGGUUAAGUCCCGCAACGAGCGCAACCCUUGCCUUUAGUUGCCAGCAGUUCGGCUGGGCACUCUAAAGGGACUGCCGGUGUUAAACCGGAGGAAGGUGGGGAUGACGUCAAGUCCUCAUGGCCUUUAUGACCAGGGCUACACACGUACUACAAUGGCCGAUACAAAGGGCAGCGACACUGCGAGGUGAAGCCAAUCCCGUAAAAUCGGUCUCAGUCCGGAUUGGAGUCUGCAACUCGACUCCAUGAAGCUGGAAUCGCUAGUAAUCGCGCAUCAGCCAUGGCGCGGUGAAUACGUUCCCGGGCCUU